rnacentral:rRNA from 1 species
CGAAGCACCCGGGCGCCCUGGCGGGCGCGCGAAUCAAUUGUCCCUUUAUCCUUUUUCAGGAGCAAAGCUGGCGGCGUGCUUUAUACCUGUUAGUCGAGCAAUGAAAACCCCUCCGGGAUGGAUUAGCGGCGGACAGGGGAGUAACACCUGGGCAACCUGCCUCACAAUGGGGGAUAGCCUUCCGAAAAGGAGAAUAAUACCAACAUAACAUUAGUUUUUCACAUGAAUUACUAAAUUAAGGAGAAAUCCGCUUUGAUAUGGGCCCGCGGCGCACUACCUAGUUUGUGAGGUAACACCUCACCCAAGGCUCGAUGCGUAGGCGACCUGAGAGGGUGAUCCUACACAUCUGGAACUGAGACACGGCUCUCAGACUCUCUCCUGGAGGCACCACUGGGGAAAAUUGUACAAUGGGCGAAUACCUGAUGCCGCAACGCCGCCCGAGUGAUGAAGGCCUUCUGGUUGUAAAACUCUGUCUUUGUGGACGAUAAUGACGGCACCCAACGACGAAGCCACGGCUAACUACCUGCCAGCCCCCUCGGUAAUACUUACGUGGCGAGCGUUGUCCG